rnacentral:rRNA from 1 species
CCAGGAUGUUGGCUUAGAAGCAGCCAUCAUUUAAAGAAAGCGUAAUAGCUCACUGGUCGAGUCGGCCUGCGCGGAAGAUGUAACGGGGCUAAACCAUGCACCGAAGCUGCGGCAGCGAACGUAUCACCCAAGACAACUUUACGGAGUUGACGAUUGACGGAGCGAAGCGACGUCAAAGCGUUCAUUAAAGUCGAGUUGGCUUAGGGAUACGUUCGUUGGGUAGGGGAGCGUUCUGUAAGCCUGUGAAGGUGGCCUGUGAGGCAUGCUGGAGGUAUCAGAAGUGCGAAUGCUGACAUAAGUAACGAUAAAGCGGGUGAAAAGCCCGCUCGCC